CACAUGAUUUUUUCUACAACCUUGGAGUGCAGCACACCUUUUUUGUCCCAGGCUUUAAGAGCUCCUUUGGAAGCAAGCGCAAACUGUUCUACAAACAAUUCAUCUGUAACAGGAUUAAGAGAAACAGUCCACUAGGACGAAAUGUAGAACCCAAUGGUGAGAAAAGACAGUGCCUGCCAGCUCUGUGAAGCAACCUGUGUUUCUGAGCCCAUCUUGGAAAAUCUGAGCUGCAGUAUGUUCCUGUUGAGCCAGAACAGGACCAUCCUAUCUCCACAAGCCUACUCCUUCAUCCAACUCAGCCUUUCUCACUGCCAGCAACACAGAUAUCCAUCCUCAAAGAUAACAUGGAAUGCACAUAGUGUAUCCACAGGUAGUAAACCUUAGCUCUUGCCUGACUCCUUGGUCAUCAUCCUACAGUGCUGAGGGAGGAAAAGGAGAACACACAGAGAAAUGGCUCCUGUCCUUGCAAACAAAAUUCCAGGGAGAAAGGGAUGACAAGUUGGCAGAAAGUCAAGAGCCACUAUCUAAAUAUAACAAGCUGGCUCCUUGGCUUAAAAUCCUGCAAGCAGAAUUUGAAAAUGAGCAAGCUGAGAUGAGGAAAACACAACAGAUUUGUGAGAUCGGAAGGGAGAACCAAAAGCUGCAGCAACAGAGGGUGAAAGACCAAUGACAAAACCACAUCCUGCAGCUUGAAACCAAUGGAAAGAGAUAUGAUAUAGUCAGGGAACUAGAGACAGCUACAACAUAAUUCAGUCUGAUACUGUAAGCACCAAAAGUAUCUAUAAUGCACAAUCCUAGCUGCCAUGUGCAGCAGUUCCCAGUUGCCAGGUGCAGCAGUUCCCCUUCCCUUCUAGGGACAAACUCCCACAGAUUCCAGCUGAGGGCUCUCUCCAAAAAGCUACUUUAAGAACUUUAAAGGUGAGAUAUCACUCCUGAAUCCUUUAUUGGAUUUGAGUCCUGUAGAUGCUGAAAAGGUUAGCAGAAAAAUUUUCCUGCUUUUUACAGCUGCUUGUGAGAGUCUCCUUUCUCACGCAGGCUAGCUGUAAACAGUGUAGAAGGUUUUGUAAACCAAGACUUUAUCUCACAGGUGCAAACUUGUUAUGCACAGUCUUCUUUUCCACACUGAAGAAAAUAUUUUGAAAUAGGCAUCGUAGCAUUCAGCCAAUCACUCUGGGAGGUGUAUGGUCAAGCACCCAAUGAUGUCAUUUCUCUAUUGCAAACCAAGUCACAUAAACGAACUGAUAAUUAAUUAAAUAAUGCCACUUAUCCUGGACUUGAAUUCCAUGUCAUUCUUCGCGCCGUCCCU